rnacentral:tRNA from 6 species
GGGGCUGUAGCUCAGCUGGGAGAGCGCUUGACUGGCAGUCAAGAGGUCGACGGUUCGAUCCCGUUCAGCUCCACCA